UUAUAACAGAAAUGUUUUUUUUCUUCGCGAAACACGAGACUAAGAAGAGCCAAAAUAAACGGACAGGAUGGUUUUAAAGAGUGUAAGAAGACGGAAUAUACACGGACUGACCUGAUCUCUAACAGACAGCCAUAAUCAAGCUAACGUUAAUGUUUGAUUAGCUGAUGCUAACCGGAGACUUUCCUUCAUAUAUUUCUUCGUGUUUUGAUCAACGCAUCAUCAUCGUCUCAGGCUGAUGGAGGACGAGUAAAAAGUUCUUUAUCUACCUCCAUCACUUCAUCAUCUUCAUCAUCCUCACUGGCAAUGUCCACCAAAACAAUUCUCCAUUUUGGCUCCAAAUGAACUGCAGGCGGAACCAUCGAGGAAGAAGAGCUCUGAAGGAGAAGGUCUUCAUCUGUUGCUGAAG
rnacentral:lncRNA from 1 species